AUUGAACGCUGGCGGAAUGCUUUACACAUGCAAGUCGAACGGCAGCACGGGGCAACCUGGUGGCGAGUGGCGAACGGGUGAGUAAUACAUCGGAACGUGCCCAAUCGUGGGGGAUAACGUAGCGAAAGUUACGCUAAUACCGCAUACGAUCUACGGAUGAAAGCGGGGGAUCGCAAGACCUCGCGCGAAUGGAGCGGCCGAUGUCAGAUUAGGUAGUUGGUGGGGUAAAGGCUCACCAAGCCAACGAUCUGUAGCUGGUCUGAGAGGACGAACAGCCACACGGGGACUGAGACACGGCCCAGACUCCUACGGGAGGCAGCAGUGGGGAAUUUUGGACAAUGGGCGCAAGCCUGAUCCAGCCAUUCCGCGUGCAGGAUGAAGGCCUUCGGGUUGUAAACUGCUUUUGUACGGAACGAAACGGUUCUCUCUAAUACAGGGGGCUAAUGACGGUACCGUAAGAAUAAGCACCGGCUAACUACGUGCCAGCAGCCGCGGUAAAAC
rnacentral:rRNA from 1 species